GAUGCGGAGAAGGGUUUCGUGUGAACAGCCGUUGCACACGAGUCAGUCGAUCCUAACCCCUAGGAGAAAUCCGAUGUAUGGCGUCGCCCACGGCGCCAUCGGGGGAAAGGGAAUCCGGUUCCUAUUCCGGAACCCGGUAGCGGAACCGUUCACGUCGGAUUCCUCGCCUUCGGGCGGGAAGUUCGUCGGGGCAACCCAAACUUACCCGGAGAAGCCGUCGGGAGGUCGGGGAAGAGUUUUCUUUUCUGUUUGAGCGUUCGGGUUCCCUGGAAUUCUCUAGCAGAGAGAGAGGGAAUGGAGCGCGUAGAGCACCGCAGUUGCGGCGGUGUCCCGACAUGCCCCUCGGACCUUGAAAAUCCGGGGAAGGGCCACGUGGAGGUGUCGCGCCGGUUCGUACCCAUAUCCGCAGCAGGUCUCCAAGGUUAACAGCCUCUGGUCGAUAGACGAAUGUAGGUAAGGGAAGUCGGCAAGUUAGAUCCGUAACUUCGGGACAAGGAU
rnacentral:rRNA from 1 species